UGGUGGAGCGAUUUGUCUGGUUAAUUCCGAUAACGAACGAGACUCUGACCUACUAAAUAGUUGGCAGUUCGAUGCGACUGCAAAACUUCUUAGAGGGACUAGCGGUGCUAACCGCACGAGAUUGAGCAAUAACA
rnacentral:rRNA from 1 species